rnacentral:rRNA from 1 species
GAGUUUGAUCGUGGCUCAGAACGAACGCUGGCGGCAGGCUUAAGACAUGCAAGUCGAACGCCCCGCAAGGGGAGUGGCAGACGGGUGAGUAACGCGUGGGAACAUGCCCCGAGGUACGGAACAACUCCGGGAAACUGGAGCUAAUACCGUAUGUGACCGAGAGGUGAAAGAUUUAUCGCCUUGGGAUUGGCCCGCGUUAGAUUAGCUAGUUGGUGGGGUAAUGGCCUACCAAGGCGACGAUCUAUAGCUGUUCUGAGAGGAAGAUCAGCCACACUGGGACUGAGACACGGCCCAGACUCCUACGGGAGGCAGCAGUCGGGAAUCUUGGACAAUGGGCGCAAGCCUGAUCCAGCCAUGCCGCGUGAAUGAUGAAGGCCUUAGGGUUGUAAAAUUCUUUCGCAGGGGACGAUAGUGACGGUACCCUGAUAAGAAGCUCCGGCUAACUUCGUGCCAG